CUUCCAUGCUCCCUUUGGCUCGCGGGGUGUGACUGUGCUCCGUUUGGCGAGGCAGAGGCCAUGGACGCGUGGAGGAGGCGUUGGAGCGUAUUAGGGGCGGCCGGGGCCAGGUAGCAGCAGGUCAAAGGCCCCGAGGGGCUGAGGAUGAAGAUGCAGCCCCCGGGUACUCAGACUCCCGCUCAGGACCUUCCGGCCACCGGCCUGGCCUCCGAGAUCGUGAUGGAGAGCUGCCAUCCAAGCCCCCUCCCGCCACGGCCCUGCGUCUCUGCUGCAGACUGUGCACCGGCCCCCCGGCUUGGUGCCGUGCCCGGAGAAGGGCAGUCCCCCGGGGGCGCCGAGCCAGCGCCCCAGGACUCGGGAGGCCGGGCUGGCGCUCAGAAGAGGAACCACCUGGGCUCGCCUCCGGAUUUACUUUGGCGGGGGUAGCUGAUGGGUCUGAGGCCCACACCUGGGGGUCAUCUGCUGCUUGGGUCCUUCUGGGACCCCCACCCAUCCAGGCCUCUCUUUGCACAGUUCUUUCCCCCUCCUUCCCCUCUUCCCCCACUGCGGUACUAGGCCUGGAGGUGGUGGGGGGGUGGGGGGGUCAGCCAUUACCAUUUCACACCCGUCCACAAAUGCAGAUGCCCUGCAAGGGGCAGUGACCACACCGUUCGCUCGCUGAGUGGAAUUCUUCGCCCGCCGCUAAGACCUGGUGCUUGGAGUAUCUGUCCUCACCCCACUUUCCCAGUCCACACCCCAUCCUGCAGUCUCCAGCCUGGGGAGGGAGAGACCCUGCAACCCAGGGAACAUGGACUCAGAGGUCCUAGGGGAGGGGCCGUGAGGCCUGCACGGGCCCACUCGGUCUCGAGAGACGCCCCUCUGCCUGCUCUUCUGGGGGGGCGGCUCUGCAUUCUGGGUAGGGCCUGUCUCUGUCAUUUACACACUUGGGCCUUGUACAUUAACACCGUUAAGUCUUCUCUACGGGAUGGUUGAAAAGGAAUAAUUUCAGUAGCGGGGAAACCGAGGUACAGAGACACAGCUGUCCUGAGUGACACAGACACUGCCGAUCGGGUAACCCACGUCCGGCCUCCCCUGUUGCCAAGUGGCGGCUGCCCGGCAGGGGCGGGGAGGCUGAAUGUCCCCUGCAACGAGGCGGGGUCCUUCAGUGCUUCCAACCUGUUCGUUCCGCAUCAGAUUCCUCCUGCUGUCCGAUCACGAUCUCUGUCCUUUGUCCCCGUCCCUCAGAGUCCUCUGAAGCUUCUUGCUUAUCUGAUAUGUGAACUACAUCUUACAAUCAAAUAAGAACUUACCAGUUACCAAGGAAUUUUUACAGAUCUCUCAUUUAUGAUCUCCUUAGGCUGCAUACCCAGCCCAUGAUGGCAAAUAAGCAUCGCCGUCCGUGCCAGCUAGUGUGCUGUGAUCAAUUGGUGAUGUCUGCCGUGAGCUUUGGGAGAAAGGUGGGGAGGUUGGCAGCUCUUGUAUAUAUGUGUGGGGAGAGCAUGGUGUCUGCCACUGUUUCCUUGAUUCACGCUACAUGAGAGGCUUAGCUUCUCCAUCCUGCUCUAAAACAGCAGCCUCUAAACUAGAAUCCUCAAUAAAUAAAUAAAUAAAAAUAAAAUAGAAUCCUUGCUCUUUCCAUCGAGCCCAAAGGUGACUUUGGUGAUGGUGAUGGUGAGGAUUCAGGGAGGCGUCCAGACACUCAGACACGGGGGCGUGUUUGUGCGCAGGUGGAAUCAGGGUGCAGGACACACUCAUCCAGCAGACAUGCCAAUGCCUCUUGCAGCCAGGUGCUGCGCUGGGCGCUGGGGCGCGGAGAUGAAGAAACACCUGAUCUGAGCCAGAGCCCAGGGCGAGGAGGUACCUGCUGUGCCGGUAGAGGGGUGUCAGCGGCACAGGCGGUGUCCUUCUGCCUGGCACUGUCCCGUCCGCAGCGGAGCCUGCAGGGGUGGUUCUGGAGUUUGGCAGCUCAGGACAGCAGGGGGCACAGCCAGUGUGGGAUGUCUGCGGGGGCACACACGGUGCAGGGGGAGAGCGGGCUCCCGACUCCCGACCCUCCCUGCUUUUUGGGAACAGCCAGCCCGUUGGUUCCAAGGAUGCUUUGGUUCCUAUCCAAACCCAGCUUCAGCUGCUCCCCUUGCUAGGAGGUCCCAGCCCCCGUGAAGGGGGUGCUGCCGUAGGACCCCCAGCACCAGCACAGACCCUCGAACAGACUCUCAGCAGACACUAGUGCCGGUGGCGGGUGUUGGGAGGGGGAUAAUCGCUCGAGCCCCGUAGCUGCUUGGAGGCGCCAAGAACUCGCAGCACAGGGAUCGGGACUUGCGGAGUGAGUCUCGUUUUUUAAAAGAUACGUGGCCUCUCUGGGGUGUCUCUCUGCUUCCUGGGAUCAGGGGUGUCCUCUCCACUCUGGCAGCUGAGUUUGGGACAAGGAGCACAGGCCCUCACCCCAAGAGUGCUCGGCUGGACCACAGAGCAAGGUCAAGGUCUCCUGGGGGCACAGAGGCCCCGACAGUGCCAGCGGACAUGCACGAGAUGGAAAAACUUCGCUCAGUUGGGACCCUGCCGUGAGGCCAGGGCGGGGCAGUCGCCACCAUCUCUCCAUUUGCCUCGGCGGCCACGGCUCACCCCUGCCCGAUCUCUGAGUCAUCAAUGGGAAAAUGAGACGGGGCAAGUCCCAGCCUGGCGGCAGCUGGGAAUCCACUGAGGCCGGGUGGGGAGGCGGGGGAGAAGGGCCCGGCUGGCCCUAGUCAGGUGAGCUGGGCUGGGAGCUGAGGCUUUGGCAAGAGCCAGCCUGUUGCAGGGAAUGGGGACGAGUGCAAAGAGCUGCCGGAAGCAGAGGGUCUACCGCAGGAGGGAGCGGGCAUCGCGCCCGUGACCCUGGAGUCUGGCCUCUCCCGGAAGCUGGGGAGUAGAGGCACCUUGGCGGCCAGGCGCAGGGACCCCGGCAAGACUCUGAUUCGCUGUGCGCAGGGCUGCCAGGAGGCUGUACUGGGAGCCCGGGCUGACCUCCUCCCAGCCACCUGAGUGUCCCGCCCAGGACGCAGUUCAUCCUCCCGAUCAAAACCUCCCGAGGUUUCCCCGAUGCACAGGAAGGAAGUCCCAGCUCCCAGGAAGUGUGCCCUCCGAGGUCAGGGCUCUUUCCAGUGCCCGUCCCCACAGUCCCCAGCCGGCGCCCCUGCAUGGGAAGCGCCAGGUCCCAGGACUAGCUGGGGGCCUUUGCUCAGCCCACAACCCCGCCAUGGGGAGCCUCCCUACUCGGUCCAGGCCAAGGAACUGCUCUCUGCUCUCCCGUCACCACGCUGCCUGGCGACAGUCGGUCACUAUGUUCCUGCUGCCUCUGAGUUCCUGGGACAAGGCAGGCGAUUCAUCAUCACGACUGCAAACGGUAACCAAGCUUGCUCCGUGGGCACUGACCCACGAUCAGCACAAGGGGUCGUGGAACGUCUAGCCGCUGAGGUUUUACAUUCAGAAACUGAGGCCCAGAGAGGUCAUGUGACUUGUUAGGAGUCACACAGCGGCUGACUGGCGGAGGAGCCAGGAUUCGACUGGGCAGUGGACCUCUAGAUGUGUUCUCUGAAUCCACACCAGACGAGUACUUCUCCCAGGAUGAGCGGGCGAGUGACAGAGCCUCUGAGUCUCCAGGAACCUUCAGAUGUGAUCUUGCUGUGUUAUCACAACAGCCUGUGAUAUUGGACUAUUUCCUGAUAGAUGCCGUGGUGAAUCUUGGGCUGGGGGAGAAGCGCUUGGGGUGCAGGGCUUGUGUGGACCCCGCCCCUCGAGAGCGACGGGCCUGGUGAGCACGGGUUGUCACGUCUGCAAUUAGGGCCACGUGAGAUCCCGGCGCCCAUCUCACUCAUCGCGGUGCUCUCCCUGCCUCCUUUCGACGAAGGAAACGUCCGUGUUGGAUGGGCCCACGUGGCAGGACUGAGAGUGGCCUUUGACCAACGGCCCGCAGGGACCUGGGUCCCACCGGCGACCAUGUGAGUUUGGAAGCAGGUCCCUCCCGGUCAGACCUUGAGACGACACCCCCUCCUGGCCGACAACUUGACUGCUGUCUGUGAGACCCCAGAGCAGAAGGGCCGGGGGCACGCCCGGAUCCCUGGCCCUGAGAAGCUGUGAGAUGAUGCACUGUGUUGUCUACACCACAAGUCUGUGACGAUUUGUCACUCGGCAACAGAUAACGAAGCAGAUGCUGUCGUCAGGGCUCUCUUCUCGCCCGGCUCUUCAUACACUCACUGCUGUAGCCUCGGUCUGCUUGUCUGCCUCCACCCUCCCACCCCGGGGUAGGGACCACGUUCUUGGUGCCUUUCUUCUCUGGACUGGCCCUGUGCUUGGCUCACAGGGAGAGUUCAGUGUUUGCCUAGUGCCUGAGAGUCUAGAAUCUCCUGAGCGGAUGCCCUGGGCUCGGUCCAGUGGUCCUGGGGGCCGCGUGAGGAGGCUGGGGCCUGGGGGUGAGGAGGGGCAGGUCUGUUGUCUCCCACGUGGGCAGCGCACCUUCUCUCGCCAGCCUGUUUAGCCCAGGACACCCUGGAAUGUUUCCAGGCCGGAACGAUGUCCUUGGCCAUUUAAAAGCAUUAUCCGUAUGGCGGAGAAGACAAACUCCUUGAAAAAGAUGUUCUCCAGCACAGCAGAGAAGACGAGCUACUUUGCUGGGAGCCAGACGAGGCACCGGACUCCUCGUGCCACCGGGCAAGGAGGACGCAACCAGCAGCCUCCUGUGGCUGGUGUGACAAGCGACCACACACGUGGUGGCUUGAAACAACAGAGGUCCCUUCUUUCAUGGCUCUGGAGACCAGACAUUCGAAAUCAGCACGGGGCUGAUGCCUGGCUGGAGUCAGGGCGUCGGCAGGGCUGUACUUCGGACAAGCCUACGGACAAGAAUCAGCCCCUGCCUCUUCCAGCUUCUGGGGAUCCAAGGGUCCUUCGGCUGUGGCCCCAUCACUGCAGCCUCUGCCUCUGUGGUCACAUUGCCCCCUCCUGCUCUGUCUGUAAUCCUCUGUGUACCUCUUCUUACAGACACAUGGCAACUGUUACAGCCCACCCGGAUAAUCCAGGGUCGUCUCCACAUCUCAAGAUCCCUAACGUGGUCAUGUUUGCAAGGUCUUUGCCACGUAAGGUAAUAUUCACAGGUUCCAGGGCUUAGAAUGUGGACAUUUUGGGGGGCUAUCAUUCAGUCUGCCUGGAGGGUGUGCCCAGGAGGGAAGAAACUGAGGCACAGACCAUAUUCUCCUAUUCUUAGCAUCCUAUUCUCACCCAGCAAGUGAGGCCCGGAGUCUGAACUCCCAGACCGACUUCCCUGCUGCCAACGGCUGUCCUCACAUGAAGGGAGGUCAGGACAGACAGGGCCAGCCCUGCCUUCCCGUCCUGGCAUCUCCCUGCUGUCUGCCCCCCACCUCCCCUGGCACCUGCGUGGGAGGCCCAGCCGCACAGCCAGGCUCUUCUUUUCCUUUCCCCAAGAGCAGCAUCUCUCCCCAGGGCAGGUGAGGUAGCCCGGCAGAGGCGGAGGCUGUUAAGUCCCCCCCCAGACCGCCCACGCCCAUGGGAACACCUGGGUCCCAGGCACAUGCUGUGGACGUAACCCUCCCCAGGCCGGCUGACGGCUCCCUGGGCCUGGGCCUCUGCUCACGCAUGCGAUGCUGGCAGACGGCCCCAGCGCUGUUUCCUGAGGGACUUAAAGCUGCCCACCCUGCCAGGAGCCAGGAAGGGCGCGGGCGCGGCUGGCGGGGACCCUGGCAGGAAGGGUGUGCCCGGGGCACACGCGCCUCCUCUUCGGUCACCACCAGCACCCAGAAGGCCUUUGUUCAGGACUGAACUCUGUCGCGCCCUGGGAGGAACUGUGGACCGGCUGGAGGGACCCAUCCUGGCCCCUCCUGGCCCCAGAGUGGGGCUGCUGAGAUCUGUUUGCUCAGCCCUCCCUCACCAGUGUGUCUAGGGAGCUGGAAUGUGCAUCUUUGGCAGACAGUAAAUCCUGUGGAGAUGACCCAGGGGACGCUGAAGGUUCCAGCUGUCCCCAAUCAUUUUCCCUCCCCACCUCUCUGUCGCUGGAUCCACUGGGAGAGUUAUAAUGGUCUGAAGGGUGUGAAAAUGCUUGGUGAAGUUGGGACACUACCGGCCACGGGGACCAUUAUUAUUAGUCUCCAGGAGCUGGACCAGGACAGCCUCAUCUCCAGGUGGCUGGGGAGGCUGCCUGCUAGCACGUGGACCAUCGUGACGGUUUCUCCGCUGUGUGGCUGGUGAGCCGGUGUCACGGGGCUUUCAUACCUACCAUCGUGUUUGAUCUUCCCACCGCCUGGAGCAGAGAUGAGCCCUUCCCACUUUGCAGAUAAAGAAACACACUCCGGAAACUCUGGGUCAUUUGCUCAAAAUCACGUAGCGCUUGCCCGAUGUUGGGUCGGAACUGGGGUCUGUGGGCCGAGAACGGGCUGGGGCAGAGCAGCAAGGGGACGCUGGGGGUGCCAGGGAGCAGGGCCGCCAGGAAGAACAGUGACAAACACUGAAAGCGGGGCCAGAGUAAAGGAUGGGAGUUUGCGUCCCUGCCUGGGUGACUUAGGUGGGCGGCUGGGCUAUAAUUACAUCUUACUGAAGGCUAACGAGGGCUGGGACUCUGCUGGGUGCCCAGCAAGAACUGUAAAUAAUUCAAUUAGUAAAGCAGCAAAGGAACACGGGUGGAACAGAGGCUGUGAAGACAGGGUGGGAGCUGAGGUUUUCGGGAGGGAAGGGGCCGGGGGCGGAGUCACCACGAGGAACAGAAGUGCUGGCUGGGCCCCGUGCUGGGGUGGCCCCGGCGCUCCGGGGGCAGGCGUGCGGUGUGAGCAGGCCACGGCCGCUCGGCCUGGCCCCAUGGCCCUGAUCUGCCCUUCCCGGAGUCACACGAGAAAGACAAUAGUCCCAGAGAGACUCCUUCUGGGGACAGGACAGGCGGUGCCAGGCUGCCCGGCAGGACAAGGAACCCUUGUGCGCCCUCAGCCCAGAUCCUUCUCCCCCCUCCCUGGCCUUGGGCGGUGGUCGGAAGUUCAGAUCCUGGGCUGGUGGAGGCUGGGAGCUCACGCCAGGGGCCAGUGCUGGGCCGGGUCCCCUGGAGGUCUGGGCAGCGAGCCGGAGGGGCAGGGGCUGGGUCCUGGUGUUGCUCGAGGGGGCCUGCCUUGACCAGAGAGCGGCCUGAUGCAGCCCUUCCUCCUUGGCCCUCACAAUGGCCCUGGACACAAAGGGGAGGAGGCUUAGGCCCACCUUACAGAUGAGAAAACAGAGUUCAGAGAGGUGGAAGGCUCUACCCGAGGCCACCCUGGGGUUCACGCCAGCGCUGCUGCGGGGACAGGACCUGGGUGCCUGUCUGAGUGUAUCCAGAGGCGGAGGCCAUCUGAAGGGUGGGGAGGAAGCCCUCCUCCCACCCAUGACUCCACCUUCCCUCUGCUUCCCCUGCUGCCUCCACCUGGCCAGGCUCGGCCUCUGGGGCCCAGGCUGAGCCUGCAACACCCCGGAGAGGGGGCCAGGGUCCCAGCCAGACAGCUCUCAUUUACUCAGCUUUUCCUUGAAAUUCCACACACUCUGGGCGUUUGGCGGGAGCCUGGAAUGCUCUUCAUCUGAACAAUCUGUCUUUCAGGGCGCCUGCAUCAAUCACCCCAUUGUUCCUCCCGUUUCCUGGACCACUCAGGCUGGGGGGCACCCGGCGCUGGCGAGGGGGGCGCCCCCUGGUGUCCCCAUCUGCAGGCACUCAUUGCAGUGCCGGAGCUGAGCUGGUGACAGCGGCCUGAGGGCAUCUUCCGACCUCUGGGAGGGGAGAACCCACGACGAAGGCGGUCAGGCGCUUCAUGAAGAAGGGGUGCAGCUGUGAGAAAGGACACUCCCGGGGUCCAGGGCCAGGGUUCAGCCUGAACUGCCCCCAACAUCUGUGCGGCCUUAGGUGACUCAGCAACCUCUCUGGGCCUCGGGGGCCUUAGCCGUAAAUGAGAAGCUAUCCUGGGGCUGGCGCACACGGUGCUGCAGUCAUGGGCGGGGCCUGGAGACAGUGCACAUGGGGCUGCAGUGGUGGGCGGGGCCUGGUGCACACGGUGCUGCAGUCGUGGGUGGGGCCUGGAGACAGUGCACAUGGGGCUGCAGUGGUGGGCGGGGCCUGGGGCUGGUGCACACGGUGCCGCAGUCGUGGCUGGUCUGAAUCCCAGCUCUGCCACUUGUUGGUCAGGUGUAGCCGUUUGCCUGGACGAGCCUCAGUUUGUUGCUCUGUAAAAUGAGCUUAAUAACAGCCACUGCUCAUUAUUUGUGGAAGCCGUAUUUGCAGAUCAGCCCACUUGCUAAAAUUUAUUUGUAACCCCUGAUCACUACCCACGGGGCCUUUAUGGUCACUCACGUGCAGGGGGGUGAAAAGUGUCACCUGCGGCACACGUGCCCAGCUGGCGUUAAGCAAGACGACAUCUGCCUCCAGGUUUCCGUCUCAUACUGUAAACAAGUAUCUGGUGCCGCGGUUUUUGCAUAUUUGUGAUUUUGUCGGUGAUCCCGGUGUUUAAAAUGGCCCCCAAGCUGAUGCUGCAGGUGUCCUGAGCUCAAGGAAGCUGGGACGUGAUUUUUGGAGAAAACACGUUAGACGGGCUUCGUUCGGGUGUAAGAUCUAGGGCUGUUGGCCACGAGUUCAAUGUUAAUGAGUCUUCGGUACAUAUUAGAUAAAGUGUCUUUAAACAGAAAUAUACAUAAAACAAGGUCAUGUGUUGACAGGUUGGUGAAAACGCUGUGACCAGAGGCCCCCAGGAGCCCAGCCCUGUGUGUCCCAGGCGCCAUGGCUCAGGGUUUGUCAGGUGAGAGUUCGGUGAUGCUGGAACGACAGGGAUCAGUGGCAGGUCCCGCAGGUCCCUGAAGCCCUGAGGCUUGGCUGUGUCCGGUUGGCCAGUAGCUUGGCAGUCAUUACUGGUCCAUGACGCCGGAGUCCACAGGUCCUUCUCCUGACCUCUGAGCCUCCUGUGGGGUCAGCUGCCUAGACGUGGGACCACCCGCCCCCCACUGCCAAGGGCACACAUGGGACCCCACCGCCGGCUUCGCUCAGGCCUGGAGCUUCCAGGCAAUGCUUACUCCACCUGGUUUCAGCACGAGGCCCUCAGAACUCUCGAUGCCCACAGAGGCUCUCCUCGGACGUUAUCUAAUUUCAUUCUCGCGACAACCCGUGAUGGCAGCCUUUUUAAAAAAAAUUAUUUAUUUUUAUUUUUGGCCGCGUCGGGUCUUCAUUGCUGUGUGCGGGCUUUCUCUAGUUGCGGCGAGCGGGGGCUACUCUUCGUUGCGGUGCACGGGCUUCUUGUUGCGGUGGCUUCUCUUAUGGUGGAGCACGGGCUCUAGGCACGUGGGCUCAGUAGUUGUGGCACGUGGGCUCAGUAGUUGUGGCUCGCAGGCUCUAGAGCGCAGGCUCAGUAACUGUGGCACACGGGCUUAGUUGCUGCGCGGCAUGUGGGAUCUUCCCGGACCGGGGCUCGAACCCGUGUCCCCUGGAUCGGCAGGUGGAUUCUUAACCACUGCGCCACCAGGGAAGUCCCCAUGAUGGCAGCUUUGCAGUCCCGCUUUACAGACGAGCCUGAAUUUCAGGGAGCCUAAGUGGCCCGUCCAGGGUCACCUGGUCGGUGGGUCAGUUCUGCAGAGUCAGGAAGUUCCCUCCUCCAGGCUCCCCUGUUAAGACUUCAAUGCUCUGGGCAUGGUCAGGGCCACACCUGCUCACGGACACUUUAGUGACAAUGAAGGCAUUGAGGUCCCCAGGAAACUGGCAGAGAGCCACGAGAUCAACGUCUGAGCACCCCUCCCUCUGCCUCUGCCUCCGCCCCGGGCAGGGGGCUUACAGCCUACCCAGGUCACCCCACGACUCUGCCUACCCUUUGCCUGCAGUCCUGGUGGGCUGAGUCUGCAGCCCCACGGUCACCACGGCUACCUUCCUACACGUGAUGUGUAACCCCCAUCCCCCCUCCCACCCACCCCUCCCUCCCACGCCUUCUCAGUGAGUUUAGUUUUUAUCUGGUUAAAUUAAGAGUCUUUACAUAAUGUGACCAUGUAAAUACUUUUCACAGCAGAGCCAGCAUAGUUUAUUAUGAUUAAUAUCCCCGUUUUCCAGCACCACGAUUUUCUCUGAAGCUGAGUUCUGCCUUGUUUGCAUUUGCUGGGUCGUCUGUGUGUUCACGACUAACGAGCUUCCGUUUUUCUGGUGGCAGAGAGAACUCAGUUCAUGGGAACCCACAGGGGAUCUGGGAACGUUUCCUGCUCCCCUCCCCCUCUUUCCUUUUCUUCCAUGACUCCCCCGCCCCGCCCCUGCUCUAACCUGUGCUGGUCAUGCUGGUCCUUGGCCACAGCUGCUGGUCACUGGGUACUUCCUCCCCACCGACCUGGGACUUCCCUUUGCCUCUGCCCUAGUGACUCCCUGUUCCCGGCACCAAGCCCUCCCCUUCUGCGGGUUGUCCCUUCAUUUUGGUGAAACCCAGCCUCCAGCAGCUUCUUGAGAAAACAGACAGGAGGACUCUGAAGCUUCGCAUAUGUAAAAACAUCUUUCCUCCGCCCUCCAGGUCGGUUGAUGGUUUGGCUGGGCACCUGAGGCAUUCUGGUUGGAAAUCUCCCGUAGGAUUUUGGAGGCAUUUCCUAUUGUAUCCUGGUUUCUGGUACUGCUACCGAGAGGCCUGUAGCUGCCCGAGUUUUCAGGCCUUUGUGUGUGACCCCUUUUCUCUCCGGAAGCUGGUCUGGUCCUCGGGUUUUUGGCCCUCGUGGAGCUGGGCUCAUCGCUUCAGUUCUGAGAGGUGUGGGCUCAGCGUCUCUGGUGACUGACUCCUAGGCUGUCUGACCCUCCAUAGCUCCAAGUAGUAAAAUACUGGGCCCCCUGGAUGGGCCUUUCAUUUUCUUAUCCUUCCUGAUCAAUUUCUUUCUGCACUUUCCGGAAGAUUUCUUCCACUUCCCCAUCCAGCCCGUCUACUGAAUGCUUUAUGGUUGCUAUCGUGUUGCUAACUUCCGAGGGUUCUUUUUACUUUCCGAGUGUUCCUUUCCUUUUUUCUAAAGCAUUCUCUCCCAUUUCAUGGACACGAUAUCUCCUCCAUCUGGUUUUGAAGUUUUGUUCCGUUCCUUGCAUUUUGUGCUUUCCCCAGAUUAGUUUUGAAUGUUUUAGUUCCCUUCAAGUCAGCCGUUUUCCUCAAAUAUCUGGCGGUCCCUCAAUGUUCAUGUAUACAAAGGAAUCGGAAGCACUGAAAGGCCGUUGGAAGCUCUGUGUGUGGGUGCGGCUGGGGUCCUGCGGUCUAACUCCAGGGAUCCCGCGGCCUCACUGCAGGCCUGUCAGACGUCAGUGCUUUCCUCGGGAUGGUUGCUUUUCCUGGAUCCGAAUCUCCACCCUCUUGCCAGGGCGUCUGAGGCUGGCUGCCAGCGUUUCCGGAGCAGAAGUGGGAGGGGUGGCUAUUAGCCCUCCGUCUGUGAACUUUGCUCCGUCCUCUUGUUUUCAGUGUGAUGCCCGUAUCCUGAGCUAUGCCUGCGCCUGUGUCAUUGACUGUGCCGACACCCGCUGUCUUCCCUGCCUUCUAGGGUAUCCUGCUGAUCUCGUUCUACCCACAUCUCUUUAUCUCCUCCUCUGAAUUCCUUCCCCUGCCUGCCUUUGCAUGUCCGCCCCCUCGGGGUGUCAUCCUCCCCCUGUCUCCCCCCUCCCCCUCUUCUCCUAUCCCCACACCCCGCCCGUAUUCUCCAGGCCUUAGCUGGAUGCACUGGUGAUUCCCAGUCUGCCUGUCCAGGUACCAUGUCCCCCUGGAUCUCUGCGCCGGGAUAUCCACCCCCCCACAGCUACCGGCCAGGCUGCUGGUCCAUCCACUGAGCAUCUUGGGUGCCGUUUGUCCAGUGUGGACCUCGUCAACUUCCUCCCAAACCAGCUCUUCCUCUGUGAUGUACUUCUGCUUCCAGUUUAAGGCACCAUCCUGUCGACUGAGCCGAUUGGUCUAGAUUCUUUCCUUCACCCCCCACGGCCUCUGCCCCUCACCUCCCAGCACACAGCCUCGACAGCUAGAGCUGAAGACCAUCCUCCUGACGGCCUCUUGGAUCUGUUUUGCUCAUAAAGAAAUGUUGUCUGCCAUUCCGGUAACAGCAGCCUCUGCAGCCGGGCCCCCAUGCUGCGCCCUGAGGGGACUCAGGAUGGAGCAAAACAGGAUACUGGCCCUAGCGAGCUGAGAUGCCUAUCUCAGGAAUAAUUUCAGUGAGCCCAGACUCUGGCAUCUUCCCAUCCAUAGAAAGGUCCCCAAAUAUAACGUAACUCCUAACUUUUAGGUCGUGUGGUUUUCCUCCUUCGAAGUGUCGUCUGUUUCACGGCACUGCUGCUGCCUUAGUUCAGGUCCUCCUCGGCAGCCACCCUUAUUAUUAUUAUUGUACUGUGGUAUUUUAUAUGACUUAUAGUUAAAUUUUUCUAUAUUUGUUUAUUAUCAUUAUUAUUGUAAUGGCCUCUGAACUGGU